rnacentral:rRNA from 1 species
GGAGUCUGGACCGUGUCUCAGUUCCAAUGUGGCCGUUCAUCCUCUCAGACCGGCUACUGAUCGUCGCCUUGGUAGGCCGUUACCCCACCAACUAGCUAAUCAGACGCAGACCCAUCGCAAAGCGAUAGCUUACAAGUAGAGGCCAUCUUUAAUCAGUCUCCCAUGCGGAAAACUGACAACAUUCGGUAUUAGCAGUCCUUUCGGACUGUUGUCCCCAUCUUUGCGGCAGGUUGUCUACGCGUUACUCACCCGUUUGCCACUCGGUUCUCAAAAGCAAGCUUUCAAUCACCUCGUUCGACUUGCAUGUGUUAAGCACGCCGCCAGCGUUCAUC